ACCGACACAGGUGGUCAGGUAGAGAAUACCAAGGCGUACGAGUGAACUAUGGUUAAGGAACUCGGCAAAAUACCCCCGUAACUUCGGGAGAAGGGGGACCCCUUACUGUCAUGGCACGUGCUGCCGGCAGCGGUGGGGGGUCGCAGAAACCAGUGAGAAGCGACUGUUUACUAAAAACACAGGUCCGUGCGAAGUCGCAAGAC
rnacentral:rRNA from 1 species